UACGGGGGGGGCAAGCGUUGUUCGGAAUUACUGGGCGUAAAGGGCUCAUAGGCGGCCAACUAAGUCAGACGUGAAAUCCCUCGGCUUAACCGGGGAACUGCGUCUGAUACUGGAUGGCUUGAAUCCGGGAGAGGGAUGCGGAAUUCCAGGUGUAGCGGUGAAAUGCGUAGAUAUCGGAAGGAACAUCAGUGGCGAAAGCGGCUUCCUGGACCAGUACCGACGUUCAGGCACGAAAGCGUGGGGAGCAAACAGG
rnacentral:rRNA from 1 species